rnacentral:lncRNA from 11 species
AAAGGAAGGAAAUGGAAAAUAAAAAAGGGGGAACAGUGGGGAAAUGGCUUCCAUAGAGUUUACAAACACAUGAAAUUGGGUGCAAAAAAAGAAAAAAGAAAAAAAAGAAAGAGAUGUAUCAUUGGAUGUUUUUCAUUGAUGGAUGUUUUCCCCUUAAAGCUACAAAUGGGUUUUAGCAGUGUUUCCAGUGACAUCUGUAAUGCAAUCCUGUAUGUCUCCAUUCAGAAGAAAGUCCUCCAGAGUUCAAUAGGACUUGUACUCAUAAAUGACUGAAGAACCAAAGGUGGUUUGCAUUGCUCUGCUUUGUAUUAUUUUAUUUAUUUAAGAGACCCACAAUAUUUUUCAACAACAUGAUUUUAGAUUCAGAAGCACUCCUAUAGCCCUCUGCCUCUUCUAUAUGGUCCCAGUCCUCAAGGCAGUCCUUUCUGGAUCAUUGGAUCAUCUGGAUCAAGUUGCUGGCAGAGGCACCCAAGACAUGAAAAAUGACCAGAGAGAAAUGCAUAGGAUUUCUGUUAAAAGAAAUGGCUUGUGAAGGUAGCCAACCAACUGGAGAAGAAGAAGGUGCUGAGCUAUACAAUCAUCUCUACUUACAUUCAGAUAGGAUAUAAAAUCCCCAAGAUAGCUUACACAAAACAACAAAAAUAAAAUUAAGCUGAAACCUCUAACAAUAUCC